rnacentral:rRNA from 1 species
CAGCCGCCGCGGUAAUACGUAGGUGGCAAGCGUUGUCCGGAAUUAUUGGGCGUAAAGGGCUCGCAGGCGGUUUCUUAAGUCUGAUGUGUAAGCCCCCGGCUCAACCGGGGGUGGUCAUUGGAAACUGGGAAACUUGAGUGCAGAAGAGGAGAGUGAAUUCCACGUGUAGCGGUGAAAUGCGUAGAGAUGUGGAGGAACACCAGUGGCGAAGGCGACUCUCUGGUCUGUAACUGACGCUGAGGAGCGAAAGCGUGGGGAGCGAACAGGAUUAGAUACCCCAGUAGUCCCUGUCUCUUAUACA